AAUUUCCCCCUAAAAUACCAACAAGACUCCUGCUUGAAACUACUUGUACAUUAGGGACAGAGAAGAGUUCAUGAGAAUCAGCAUUUUCUGAGGACUCCAGCUGUCUUCCGAGAGAGAGUUCUCCUGCUGGUGCCUCCUCUGUAGUAAAGCAAAGAGUCCUGAACUCCCAUCCCUACCUCAGAAGAGACUCCUCUGUUCACAGAAGCUAAAGGCAGUUCCUUCCUAGUGGCAACUAUGUUUGGAUGUUGGAUCUACACUUUCUCAAGCACUGUGAUCUUCAAAUGCAGCAUCCAGCAAGAGAAAGCCGGGAGGAGCUGACAGAGCCCUCAUCACUGCUUCCCUGACAGGAGGUAAGGGAAGCAAAAAAGAGCCUCUGAGGGACAGCUCACCUCUGCUCAGACCCACCACAGUUACAGCACCUGUCCAGCUUUCUAUAGCACUUGA
rnacentral:lncRNA from 1 species